CUAAUACAUGCAAGUCGAACGCGUCUCCGUUGAUGAUUUUAGGUGCUUGCACUUGAAAGAUUUAACAUUGAGACGAGUGGCGAACUGGUGAGUAACACGUGGGUAACCUGCCCUUGAAGUAGGGGAUAACACUUGGAAACAGGUGCUAAUACCGUAUAACAACCAAAACCACCUGGUUUUGGUUUAAAAGACGGCUUCGGCUGUCACUUUAGGAUGGACCCGCGGCGUAUUAGCUUGUUGGUAAGGUAACGGCCUACCAAGGCGAUGAUACGUAGCCGACCUGAGAGGGUAAUCGGCCACAUUGGGACUGAGACACGGCCCAAACUCCUACGGGAGGCAGCAGUAGGGAAUCUUCCACAAUGGACGAAAGUCUGAUGGAGCAACGCCGCGUGAGUGAUGAAGGGUUUCGGCUCGUAAAACUCUGUUGUUGGAGAAGAACAGGUGUCAGAGUAACUGUUGACAUCUUGACGGUAUCCAACCAGAAAGCCACGGCUAACUACGUGCCAGCAGCCGCGGUAAUACGUAGGUGGCAAGCGUUGUCCGGAUUUAUUGGGCGUAAAGCGAGCGCAGGCGGUUUUUUAGGUCUGAUGUGAAAGCCUUCGGCUUAACCGGAGAAGUGCAUCGGAAACCGGGAGACUUGAGUGCAGAAGAGGACAGUGGAACUCCAUGUGUAGCGGUGAAAUGCGUAGAUAUAUGGAAGAACACCAGUGGCGAAGGCGGCUGUCUGGUCUGUAACUGACGCUGAGGCUCGAAAGCAUGGGUAGCGAACAGGAUUAGAUAC
rnacentral:rRNA from 1 species